AUGCCCUCUGACCUGGCCAAGAAGAGGGUAGCCAAAAAGAAGGAAGCUGCCAAGCUCGACAGCGGUCCAGAAAGGGACAUGAAGAAAACAGAGAUGUGGUAACAGAACCACAGGUGGCACAGGAGAAAAAUGAGGCCAAUAGCAGAGAGACCACAGAAGUGGAUCUGCUGACCAAGGAGCUAAAGGACUUUGAGAUGAAGAAAGCUGCUGCUUGAGCUGUCACUGGUGUCCUUGCCUCUCACCCCAACAGUACUGAUGUCCACAUUAUCAACCUCUCACUUACCUUUCACGGUCAAGAACUGCUUAGUGACACCAAACUGGAAUUAAACUCAGGCCGUUGUUAUGGCUUCAUUGGCUUAAAUGGAAUUGGCAAGUCCAUGCUGCUGUCUGCUAUUGGGAAACAUGAAGUACCCAUCCCUGAGCACAUUGCCAUCUACCAUCUGACUCGAGAGAUGCCCCCUAGUGACAAGACUCCCUUGCAGUGUGUGAUGGAAGUUGACACAGAGCCGGCUAUGCUGGAGAGGGAGGCUGAGUGGCUGGCUCAUGAGCAUGCCGAGUGCGAGAAGCUCAUGGAGCUCUAUGAGCGCCUGGAGGAACUGGAUGCCGACAAGGUGGAGAUGAGGGCCUCACAGAUCUUACAUGGACUGGGUUUCACACCUGCCAUGCAGUGCAAGAAGCUAAAAGACUUCAGUGGGGGCUGGAGGAUGAGAGUUACCCUUGCCAGAGCCCUCUUUAUUCGGCCCUUCAUGCUGCUCCUGGAUGAGCCCACCAAUCACCUGGACCUAGAUGCUUGUGUGUGGUUGGAAGAAGAACUAAAAACUUUUAAGCACAUCCUGGUCCUCAUCUCCCAUUCCCAGGAUUUUCUGAGUAAUUACGGGUAAUUACGAUCAGUAUGUGAAGAUACGGCUGGAGCUGGAGGAGAACCAAAUGAAGAGGUUUCACUGGGAGCAAGAUCAGAUCGCACACAUGAAGAACUACAUUGCUGGGUUUGGUCAUGGCAGUGCUAAGCUGACCUGGCAGGCCCAGAGCAAGGAGAAGACAUUAACAGAAAAUGAUAGCAUCAGGACUGACAGAGAGGGUCGUGAGCGACAAGACACUGCCAUUUUAUUUCCCACCAUGUGGUAAGAUCCCUCCACCUGUCAUUAUGGUGCAAAAUGUGAGCUUCAAGUAUACAAAGGAUGGGCCUUCUAUCUACAAUAAUCUGGAAUUUGGUAUUGACCUUGACACACGAGUGGCUCUGGUAGGGCCCAAUGGAGCAAGAAAGUCAACUCUUCUGAAGCUGCUAACUGGAGAGCUACUACCCACAGAUGGAAUGAUCCAAAAACACUCUCAGGUCAAAAUAGGGUGUUACCUCAGCAUUUACAAGAGCAGCUGGACUUAGACCUCUCCCCUUUGGAGUACAUGAUGAAGUGCUACCCAGAGAUCAAUGAGAAAGAUCAUUGGGCAGUACGGUCUCACUGGAAAACAACAGGUGAGCCCAAUUUGGAACCUGUCAGAUGGGCAGAAGUGCCGAGUGUGUCUGGCCUGACUGGCCUGGCAGAACCCCCACAUGCUCUUCUUGGAUGAGCUGACCAAUCACCUGGAUAUUGAGACCAUUGAUGCACUGGCAGAUGCUAUCAAUGAGUUCGAGGAUGGUAUGAUGCUGGUCAGCCAUGAAUUCAGACUCAUUCAGCACGUUGCACAGGAAAUUUGGGUCUGUGAGAAGCAGACAAUCACCAAGUGGCCUGGAGACAUCCUGGCCUACAAGGAGCACCUCAAGUCCAAGCUGGUGGAUGAGGAGCCCCAGCUCACCAAGAGGACCCACAACGUGUGA